rnacentral:rRNA from 1 species
GUUAGAUCCUGGCUCAGGAUGAACGCUGGCGGCGUGCUUAACACAUGCAAGUCGAACGGAAACUAUAUGUGAGCGGGCGAAUGCUUGCACAUAAACAAUCUUUUAUUUUUUUAGUGGCGGACGGGUGAGUAACGCGUGGGUAACCUGCCGUAUGCUGGGGGACAACAGUUGGAAACGACUGCUAAUACCGCAUAAGCCCACGGCCUCGCAUGAGGCUGUGAGAAAAACUCCGGUGGCAUACGAUGGACCCGCGUCUGAUUAGCUAGUUGGUGAGGUAACGGCCCACCAAGGCGACGAUCAGUAGCCGGCCUGAGAGGGCGACCGGCCACAUUGGGACUGAGACACGGCCCAGACUCCUACGGGAGGCAGCAGUGGGGGAUAUUGCACAAUGGGGGGAACCCUGAUGCAGCGACGCCGCGUGAAGGAAGAAGUAUUUCGGUAUGUAAACUUCUAUCAGCAGGGAAGAUAAUGACGGUACCUGACUAAGAAGCCCCGGCUAACUACGUGCCAGCAGCCGCGGUAAUACGUAGGGGGCAAGCGUUAUCCGGAUUUACUGGGUGUAAAGGGAGCGUAGACGGCAUAGCAAGUCUGAAGUGAAAUGCAUGGGCUCAACCCAUGAACUGCUUUGGAAACUGUUAAGCUAGAGUGCAGGAGAGGUAAGUGGAAUUCCUAGUGUAGCGGUGAAAUGCGUAGAUAUUAGGAGGAACACCAGUGGCGAAGGCGGCUUACUGGACUGUAACUGACACUGAGGCUCGAAAGCGUGGGUAGCAAACAGGAUUAGAUACCCUGGUAGUCCACGCCGUAAA